rnacentral:rRNA from 1 species
AGUGAAUGCUGGCGGCGUGCUUAACACAUGCAAGUCGAACGAGAACGGAUUAUAGCUUGCUAUAAUUGUCAGCUAAGUGGCGCACGGGUGAGUAAUGUAUAGGUAAUAUGCCUCUUACUAAGGGAUAACAAAUGGAAACGUUUGCUAAUACCUUAUACUCCUUAUUAACAUAAGUUAAUAAGGGAAAGAUUUAUUGGUAAGAGAUUAGCCUGUAUUGUAUCAGUUAGUUGGUGGGGUAAUGGCUUACCAAGACUAUGACACAUAACUGGUUUGAGAGGAUGAGCAGUCACACUGGAACUGAGACACGGUCCAGACUCCUACGGGAGGCAGCAGUGGGGAAUAUUGCACAAUGGACGAAAGCCUGAUGCAGCAACGCCGCGUGGAGGAUGACACAUUUCGGUGCGUAAACUCCUUUUAUAUGAGAAGAUAAUGACGGUAUUAUAUGAAUAAGCACCGGCUAACUCCGUGCCAGCAGCCGCGGUAA